GAUGAACGCUGACCGAAUGCUUAACACAUGCAAGUCUUUGGCGAAGCUGUGCUUGCACAGCCUAGCCAAGGCGGACGGGUGAGUAACGCGUAAGGAACUUGCCCUGCAGUCAGGGAUAACAGACGGAAACGACUGAUAAGACCUGGUAAAGUCAGGCGGACUCAUGUCCAGCCUGAUGAAAAGUGAUGCUGCAGGAGAGCCUUGCGUCCUAUUAGCUUGUUGGUGGGGUAACGGCCCACCAAGGCGAUGAUAGGUAGCCGGCCUGAGAGGGUGGACGGCCACAAGGGGACUGAGAUACGGCCCUUACUCCUACGGGAGGCAGCAGUGGGGAAUAUUGGACAAUGGGGCAACCCUGAUCCAGCAAUUCUGUGUGCACGAUGAAGGUUUUCGGAUUGUAAAGUGCUUUCAGCAGGGAAGAAAAAAAUGACGGUACCUGCAGAAGAAGCGACGGCUAAAUACGUG
rnacentral:rRNA from 1 species